rnacentral:tRNA from 1 species
AAAAAGAUAAGCUAAAUUUAAGCUAAUGGGCUCAUACCUCAUUUAUGGACCUCUAUCCUCUUUUUA